rnacentral:rRNA from 1 species
GACGAACGCUGGCGGCGUGCUUAACACAUGCAAGUCGAACGGAAAGGCCCUGCUUUUGUGGGGUGCUCGAGUGGCGAACGGGCGAGUAACACGUGAGUAACCUGCCCUUGACUUUGGGAUAACUUCAGGAAACUGGGGCUAAUACCGGAUAGGAGCUCCUGCUGCAUGGUGGGGGUUGGAAAGUUUCGGCGGUUGGGGAUGGACUCGCGGCUUAUCAGCUUGUUGGUGGGGUUGUGGCUUACCAAGGCUUUGACGGGUAGCCGGCCUGAGAGGGUGACCGGCCACAUUGGGACUGAGAUACGGCCCAGACUCCUACGGGAGGCAGCAGUGGGGAAUAUUGCACAAUGGGCGGAAGCCUGAUGCAGCAACGCCGCGUGCGGGAUGACGGCCUUCGGGUUGUAAACCGCUUUCGCCUGUGACGAAGCGUGAGUGACGGUAAUGGGUAAAGAAGCACCGGCUAACUACGUG